rnacentral:rRNA from 1 species
GAUGAACGCUGACAGAAUGCUUAACACAUGCAAGUCAACUUGAAUUUGGGUUUUUAACUUAGGUUUGGGUGGCGGACGGGUGAGUAACGCGUAAAGAACUUGCCUCACAGCUAGGGACAACAUUUGGAAACGAAUGCUAAUACCUAAUAUUAUGAUAAUAGGGCAUCCUAUAAUUAUGAAAGCUAUAAGCGCUGUGAGAGAGCUAUGCGUCCCAUUAGCUAGUUGGAGAGGUAACGGCUCACCAAGGCGAUGAUGGGUAGCCGGCCUGAGAGGGUGAUCGGCCACAAGGGGACUGAGACACGGCCCUUACUCCUACGGGAGGCAGCAGUGGGGAAUAUUGGACAAUGGACCAAGAGUCUGAUCCAGCAAUUCUGUGUGCACGAUGAAGUUUUUCGAAAUGUAAAGUGCUUUCAGUUGGGAAGAAAGAAAUGACGGUACCAACAGAAGAAGUGACGGCUAAAUACGUGCCAGCAGCCGCGGUAAUACGUAUGUCACGAGCGUUAUCCGGAUUUAUUGGGCGUAAAGCGCGUCUAGGUGGUUAUGUAAGUCUGAUGUGAAAAUGCAGGGCUCAACUCUGUAUUGCGUUGGAAACUGUAUAACUAGAGUACUGGAGAGGUAAGCGGAACUACAAGUGUAGAGGUGAAAUUCGUAGAUAUUUGUAGGAAUGCCGAUGGGGAAGCCAGCUUACUGGACAGAUACUGACGCUGAAGCGCGAAAGCGUGGGUAGCAAACAGG